rnacentral:rRNA from 1 species
AUUGAACGCUGGCGGCAGGCCUAACACAUGCAAGUCGAACGAGUGGCGGACGGGUGAGUAAUGUCUGGGCAACUGCCUGAUGGAGGGGGAUAACUACUGGAAACGGUAGCUAAUACCGCAUACCAUCGGAUGUGCCCAGAUGGGAUUAGCUAGCAGGUGGGGUAACGGCUCACCUAGGCGACGAUCCCUAGCUGGUCUGAGAGGAUGACCAGCCACACUGGAACUGAGACACGGUCCAGACUCCUACGGGAGGCAGCAGUGGGGAAUAUUGCACAAUGGGCGCAAGUCUGAUGCAGCAAUGCCGCGUGUAUGAAGAAGGCUUUCGGGUUGUAAAGUACUUUCAUCAGGGAGGCGGUACCCGAAGAGUAAGCCCCGGCUAACUCCGUGCCAGCAGCCGCGGUAAUAC